UAAACGUGCGAGGGGAGUCUUCGUUUACUUACGAAAUACAAGGGAACAACACAAAAGAGACUUCUCGGGAGCGAGCACAGAAAGAGAAGGAAGAUAAUUGAACAAACUUGCAAUGGAAUAAACAUAGGAACUACCUACUAAAGUGAGGGCGAACUACUCAAAUAUAAUCUAAGUAAGUGUUAGCAAGUUUACCACUCACAAAAGAAGAAGAAGAAAACAAGGGAGUGAGCUCAGCACUCCGAAA
rnacentral:lncRNA from 1 species